UGCAAUGGUUGAGAAAGGUCCUUUGUUCAUUCACCAAUCAUGUGCAGCAAAAAUAGUGGUAGGGAAAACAUCCAGCACAGCACUGUGCUAACAUGCCUCAGCCAUGACUCGGACUGAUGAGAGGAUAAUUCACUCUCUAUGCCCAUUGAAUACUCCACCUCU
rnacentral:sRNA from 1 species